GUAGUCUCGCACAGAUGCAUAUCAAUAAGCGGAGGAAAAGAAACUAACAAGGAUUCCCUUAGUAACGGCGAGUGAAGCGGGAAGAGCUCAAAUUUGAAAUCUUGAAAGGUCACCUUUCACGAAUUGUAGUUUAAAGAAGUGUUUUCUGUUACGAUCGUAAUAUAAGUUCUUUGGAAUAGGACAUCACAGAGGGUGAGAAUCCCGUCUAUGAUUGCGAUUUGUAGCUUUGUGAUACACUUUCAAAGAGUCGGGUUGUUUGGGAAUGCAGCCCAAAACGGGAGGUAAAUUUCUUCUAAGGCUAAAUAUUGGCGAGAGACCGAUAGCGAACAAGUACCGUGAGGGAAAGAUGAAAAGAACUUUGAAAAGAGAGUUAAAUAGUACGUGAAAUUGUCAAAAGGGAAGCGUUUGACACCAGUGUUGUUUUCUCGAAAAUCAAUUAAAAAGAGUUAGAUUUUGUUGUGUAUUGACCUUAACAGCUUGCAUUUCAAUUUUCUUGCUUUUUUUAAUGCACUUUUCGUUUAACAAGUCAACAUCAGUUUCUUUUGUUGUAAAAAGGUCAUUGGAAGGUGGCUUUCUUUUCGGAGAAAGUGUUUAUAGCCUUUGACUCCUGCAAUCGGAGAGACUGAGGUCUGCAGCGUAGAUCCUUCGGGGUUAGAUACAUUUGUGCUAAGUUAUAGCUUUUUAUAGACAACUUGUUGACUAUGAUUAGUCUUGUAGCUUACUCGCUUAUGCUAUUUUACCUACGCUUAGGAUGUUGAAGAUGUAGCACAUCAU
rnacentral:rRNA from 1 species